GAACGUGCCCAUCGGUUCGGAACAACCCAGGGAAACUUGGGCUAAUACCGGAUACGACCGUGAGGUGAAAGAUUUAUCGCCGAUGGAUCGGCCCGCGUCUGAUUAGCUAGUUGGUGGGGUAACGGCCCACCAAGGCGACGAUCAGUAGCUGGUCUGAGAGGAUGAUCAGCCACACUGGGACUGAGACACGGCCCAGACUCCUACGGGAGGCAGCAGUGGGGAAUAUUGGACAAUGGGCGCAAGCCUGAUCCAGCCAUGCCGCGCGAGUGAUGACGGCCCUAGGGUUGUAAAGCUCUUUCGGCGGGGACGAUAAUGACGGUACCCGCAGAAGAAGCCCCGGCUAACUUCGUGCCAGCAGCCGCGGUAAUACGAAGGGGGCUAGCGUUGCUCGGAAUCACUGGGCGUAAAGGGCGCGUAGGCGGAUCUCUAAGUCGGGGGUGAAAGCCCAGGGCUCAACCCUGGAAUUGCCUUCGAUACUGGAGAUCUUGAGACCGGAAGAGGUAAGUGGAACUGCGAGUGUAGAGGUGAUAUUCGUAGAUAUUCGCAAGAACACCAGUGGCGAAGGCGGCUUACUGGUCCGGUUCUGACGCUGAGGCGCG
rnacentral:rRNA from 1 species